rnacentral:tRNA from 1 species
AAAAUCCGUCGACUUUAAAAAUCGUGAGGGUUCAAGUCCCUCUAUCCCCAAAAAAGCCUAUCUGACUCACAA